UACAGAGGGGGCGAGCGUUGUUCGGAAUUACUGGGCGUAAAGGGCGCGUAGGCGGCGUGUCAAGUCAGGCGUGAAAGCCCCGGGCUCAACCUGGGAACCGCGCUUGAGACUGGCAUGCUCGAGUUCGGGAGAGGAUGGUGGAAUUCCCAGUGUAGAGGUGAAAUUCGUAGAUAUUGGGAAGAACACCGAUGGCGAAGGCAGCCAUCUGGACCGACACUGACGCUGAGGCGCGAAAGCGUGGGGAGCAAACAGG
rnacentral:rRNA from 1 species